CACAGCAGGCAUUAGUCGCUGAGCUUUACCUCACCUCCCACAUCAUUUAUGUACUAACAGUCAUCAUCAGUUCCUCACAGUGUGCAGUGGCUACUAGCUUUUACCACCUUCCUAUCGUGCCUUUGGUGGUAUUCAAAAGGGAAAAAGAAAUCGCCAGGAAGCUGGAGUUUGAUGGCCUAUAUAUCACCGAACAGCCAUCUGAAGAUGACAUCAAGGGGCAGUGGGACCGCUUGGUGAUCAACACACCAUCUUUUCCUAAUAACUACUGGGACAAGUUUGUAAAGAGAAAGGUGAUCAACAAGUAUGGAGAUCUCUACGGAGCAGAACGCAUUGCUGAGCUUCUGGGUUUGGACAAAAAUGCUCUUGACUUUAGCCCAGUAGAAGAGACCAAAGCAGAAGCGGCUUCUCUGGUGUCAUGGCUAAGUUCCAUAGACAUGAAGUACCAUAUCUGGAAGCUUGGAGUUGUUUUUACUGACAACUCCUUUCUCUACCUUGCCUGGUAUACAACCAUGUCAGUCCUGGGCCACUACAAUAACUUCUUCUUUGCUGCUCACCUAUUGGACAUCGCAAUGGGCUUCAAGACACUGAGGACCAUUCUGUCAUCUGUAACUCAUAAUGGCAAACAGUUGGUUCUGACUGUUGGUCUCCUGGCCGUGGUGGUUUAUCUCUAUACCGUGGUGGCUUUCAAUUUCUUCCGCAAGU
rnacentral:sRNA from 1 species